AGCUUCCUGUAGCUCCUCAGCAUGAUGACUGGGUGCUCACGCCCUUCACCUGCGCCUCCCCCAAGCCUCGGUACGACCUCUCCCGUUGCCCGUCUGAUG
rfam:Mustela putorius furo unplaced genomic scaffold scaffold00306, whole genome shotgun sequence.